rnacentral:rRNA from 1 species
GACGAACGCUGGCGGCGUGCUUAACACAUGCAAGUCGAACGGAAAGGCCCUGCUUUUGUGGGGUGCUCGAGUGGCGAACGGGUGAGUAACACGUGAGUAACCUGCCCUUGACUUUGUGAUAACUUCAGGAAACUGGGGCUAAUACCGGAUAGGAGCUCCUGCUGCAUGGUGGGGGUUGGAAAGUUUCGGCGGUUGGGGAUGGACUCGCGGCUUAUCAGCUUGUUGGUGGGGUAGUGGCUUUCCAAGGCUUUGACGGGUAGCCGGCCUGAGAGGGUGACCGGCCACAUUGGGACUGAGAUACGGCCCAGAAUCCUACGGGAGGCAGCAGUGGGGAAUAUUGCACAAUGGGCGGAAGCCUGAUGCAGCAACGCCGCGUGCGGGAUGACGGCCUUCGGGUUGUAAACCGCUUUCGCCUGUGACGAAGCGUGAGUGACGGUAAUGGGUAAAGAAGCACCGGCUAACUACGUG